rnacentral:rRNA from 1 species
ACUCCUACGGGAGGCAGCAGUAAGGAAUAUUGGUCAAUGGACGCAAGUCUGAACCAGCCAUGCCGCGUGGAGGAUGAAGGUCCUCUGGAUUGUAAACUUCUUUUAUCUGGGACGAAACACUUCUUUUCUAAGAGGCCUGACGGUACCAGAUGAAUAAGCACCGGCUAACUCCGUGCCAGCAGCCGCGGUAAUACGGAGGGUGCAAGCGUUAUCCGGAUUCACUGGGUUUAAAGGGUGCGUAGGUGGGUAUGUAAGUCAGUGGUGAAAUCCCCGAGCUUAACUUGGGAACUGCCAUUGAUACUAUAUAUCUUGAAUACCGUAGAGGUAAGCGGAAUAUGUCAUGUAGCGGUGAAAUGCUUAGAUAUGACAUGGAACACCAAUUGCGAAGGCAGCUUACUAUGCGGUGAUUGACACUGAGGCACGAAAGCGUGGGUAGCAAACAGGAUUAGAUACCCUGGUAGUCCACGCCCUAAACUAUGGAUACUCGACAUACGCGAUACACUGUGUGUGUCUGAGCGAAAGCAU